rnacentral:rRNA from 1 species
UACGUAGGCAGCGAGCGUUGUUCGGAAUUACUGGGCGUAAAGAGCGCGCAGGCGGUUGGAUAAGUCGAAUGUGAAAGCCCCCGGCUUAACUGGGGAGGGUCAUUCGAUACUGUUCAACUUGAAGGCAGGAGAGGGCAGCAGAAUUCCCGGUGUAGUGGUGAAAUGCGUAGAUAUCGGGAGGAAUACCAGUGGCGAAGGCGGCUGCCUGGCCUGUUCUUGACGCUGAGGCGCGAAAGCUGGGGGAGCAAACGGG